rnacentral:rRNA from 1 species
AUUGAACGCUGGCGGCAGGCCUAACACAUGCAAGUCGAACGAGUGGCGGACGGGUGAGUAAUGUCUGGGAAACUGCCUGAUGGAGGGGGAUAACUACUGGAAACGGUAGCUAAUACCGCAUACCAUCGGAUGUGCCCAGAUGGGAUUAGCUUGUUGGUGGGGUAACGGCUCACCAAGGCGACGAUCCCUAGCUGGUCUGAGAGGAUGACCAGCCAAACUGGGACUGAGCAACGGUCCAGACCCCUACGGAGGGCAGCAGUGGGGAAUAUUGAACAAUGGGCGCAAGCCUGAUGCAGCCAUGCCGCGUGGAGGAAGAAGGCCUUCGGGUUGUAAAGUACUUUCAGCGGGGAGGCGUUACCCACAGAAGAAGCACCGGCUAACUCCGUGCCAGCAGCCGCGGUAAUAC